rnacentral:misc_RNA from 1 species
GCCAUCGCAAAGCAAACACAAACUCCGAAACGUGCUAAAAAUCGUAAAAAUCAACAGCGAAAAAAGGAAAUAUCUAAGAAUUUUGCGGCGAAAGUUGAGGAGUGUGUUGUUCACCCAAAGUGUUUCGAGUGUAUCCGAGUCUUUUAAUGUGCCACCCGCAAGAUGACAUCGCAUUCCUACUAUAAAGACCGCCUGGGCUUCGAUCCCAAUGAGCAGCAGCCGGGCAGCAACAACUCCAUGAAGCGGAGCAGCUCCCGCCAGACGACGCACCACCAUCAGAGCUACCAUCAUGCCACCACCAGUAGCAGUCAGUCGCCGGCAAGAAUCUCCGUUUCACCGGGUGGUAACAAUGGAACCCUGGAGUACCAGCAGGUCCAGCGGGAGCAGCGGGAUCGGGAGCUGUACAGCAGCAACGGCAGUCAUCACCACCACCACCAGCAGCACCAUCAUCAUCGCCACUCGGCGACGGGCAGUGCAUCCUCGCCGCUGUACGAGAAUAGCAGCAGUAGUCCGGCUGCUCCCAAAAAGGCCAAGCACUCAUCCACCCAGGCACAGCCGCAGGGUGGCUACGAGGAUGCACUUACCCAGUUUAAAGGUAGCAUGUCCAUUUGGGAUCAUUUUAUAGAAGAUUGGGACAUAAUGCACGAACGCGAUGCCAUUCAGAAGAAGACUUUCACAAAAUGGGUUAACAAACAUCUGAAAAAGCAUUGGAAGUAUGCUAAGACCUAUACUAUGCUACAUGUUUGUGUAACCACAAAUGGCAUACCCUGUUGUUCUCAGUCUGCCAAUCGUCGUGUGGUGGACUUGUUCGAAGAUCUGCGCGAUGGUCACAAUUUACUUUCACUCCUGGAGGUGCUAUCUGGCGAACACCUGCCACGCGAGAAGGGUAAAAUGCGUUUCCAUAUGCUGCAGAAUGCACAAAUGGCACUGGACUUUUUGCGCUACAAGAAGAUCAAAUUGGUCAACAUACGAGCCGAGGAUAUUGUGGAUGGCAAUCCAAAGUUGACCCUGGGCCUGAUCUGGACCAUUAUAUUGCACUUCCAGAUCUCCGAUAUUGUUGUGGGCAAAGAGGACAACGUAUCCGCUCGGGAGGCUCUACUGCGCUGGGCACGUCGCUCCACUGCUCGGUAUCCGGGCGUACGUGUCAACGACUUUACAUCGUCGUGGCGAGAUGGAUUGGCUUUCUCGGCGUUGGUGCACCGCAACCGACCGGACUUGCUUGACUGGCGAAAGGCAAGGAACGAUCGGCCAAGGGAGCGCCUGGAGACAGCCUUCCACAUUGUGGAGAAGGAGUACGGAGUUACGCGCCUGCUGGAUCCUGAGGAUGUGGAUACCAACGAGCCGGAUGAGAAGUCCCUCAUCACGUAUAUUUCAUCGCUGUACGAUGUGUUCCCGGAGCCGCCCUCUAUCCAUCCACUCUUCGACAUGGAGUCACAACGUCGCGUCCAUGAAUAUCGCGACCUGGCCCAGCAGUUCAUCUACUGGUGCCGCGAGAAGACAGCUUACCUGCAGGAGCGUUCCUUCCCGCCCACGCUUAUUGAGAUGAAGCGUCUGCUGAGCGAUCUGCAGCGUUUCCGCAGCGAGGAGGUGAGCGCCCGCAAGCGCGAGAAAUCCAAGCUCAUUCAGAUCUACAAGGAGCUGGAACGCUACUUCGAAACGGUGGGUGAAGUCGACGUAGAGGCCGAACUGCGGCCGGAUGCCAUUGAGAAGGCGUGGUAUCGCAUGAACACGGCGCUGCAGGAUCGCGAGGUUAUCCUUCAGCAGGAAAUUGAGCGACUAGAACGGCUGCAACGACUGGCCGAUAAGGUACAGCGCGAGAUCAAGCAUGUAGAUCAGAAGCUGAGCGAUCUAGAGACCCGUAUUGGCGAGGAGGGUCGUCGCAUCGAGCGUCUACAUCCCGUUGAUGCUAAGAGCAUUGUCGAGGCGCUUGAAACCGAAAUCCGGCACCUGGAGGAACCCAUCCAGGACAUGAACCAGGACUGCCACGUGCUCAACGAGGGUCGCUAUCCCCAUGUCAGUGAGCUGCACAAGAAGGUCAACAAAUUGCACCAGCGUUGGGCUCAACUGCGCACCAAUUUCCACACGAACCUGGUACAGAAGCUGUCCGGUUUGAAGUAUCCCGUCCACGAGACCACGGUGACGCGUCAAACGCGCAUGGUGGUCGAGUCCCGUCAGAUCGACACGAAUCCCCAUUUCCGCGAUCUGCAGGAGCACAUUGAGUGGUGCCAAAACAAGUUGAAACAAUUGCUUGCCGCUGACUAUGGCAGUGACCUGCCGUCGGUCAAGGAGGAACUGGAUCGUCAACAGCACGAGCACAAGAUCAUUGAUCAGUUCCACACGAAAAUACUCAACGACGAACGCCAGCAGACCAAGUUCUCCGGAGAUGAGCUGGCAUUGUACCAGCAGCGUCUCAAUCAGCUGCAGAAGGUGUAUGCCGAGUUGCUUAGCACCUCGACGAAGCGUCUGUCCGAUUUGGACUCGCUGCAGCACUUCCUGGGACAGGCCUCCGCGGAACUGCAGUGGCUUAAUGAAAAGGAGCAGGUGGAGAUUACGCGCGACUGGGCGGACAAACAACUCGAUCUUCCCUCCGUGCACACAUACUACGAGCGUGCAUUUGGUAAUGGCGACGAGAACCUAAUGUCCGAACUGGAAAAGCGUGAGAUGCACUUUGCCACCAUCCUGGAUCGUGGAGAGGCUCUGCUGAACCAACAGCAUCCGGCCUCCAAGUGCAUCGAAGCCCAUCUGACAGCCCUGCAACAACAAUGGGCUUGGCUGCUGCAGCUGACUCUCUGCUUGGAGGUUCAUUUGAAACACGCCACGGAGUACCAUCAGUUCUUUGGCGAGAUCAAGGAUGCGGAGCAGUGGCUGGCCAAGCGUGACGAAAUACUCAACAGCAAGUUCUCGCAGUCGGACUUUGGCUUGGACCAGGGUGAAACUCUUCUCAGGGGUAUGCAGGAUCUGCGUGAGGAACUGAAUGCUUUUGGCGAGACAGUGGCGACACUGCAGCGAAGGGCCCAGACAGUGGUGCCUCUAAACAAGCGACGCCAGCCGGUAAAUCGACAGGGACCCGUGCAGGCCAUCUGUGCCUACAAACAGCAGGGUCAACUGCAGAUCGAAAAGGGCGAGACUGUUACGCUCCUGGACAACUCGGGACGUGUGAAGUGGCGCGUGCGCACUGCUAAGGGUCAGGAAGGACCCAUACCGGGCGCUUGCCUGCUACUUCCGCCUCCUGACCAGGAGGCCAUCGAUGCUGCCGAACGUCUGAAGCGACUGUUCGAUCGCUCCGUUGCUCUCUGGCAGAAGAAGCAUCUGCGCCUGCGCCAGAACAUGAUCUUCGCCACCAUUCGUGUGGUUAAGGGCUGGGACUUUGACCAGUUCUUGGCCAUGGGUCCUGAGCAGCGCACGGCCAUCCGGCGUGCCCUCAACGACGAUGCCGACAAAUUGCUGAGCGAGGGUGAUCCAAAUGAUCCGCAGCUGCGACGCCUGCGCCGCGAAAUGGACGAGGUCAAUCGCUUGUUUGAUGAGUUCGAGAAGCGUGCGCGCGCCGAAGAGGAGAGCAAGCAGGCCAGUCGCAUCUUCACCGAGGAAUGCAUUGCCAUCAAGAGCAAACUGGAAGACAUGGCCCGUGAGCUGGAUCAGAUUAUACUGGCUCCGUUGCCACGUGAUUUGGACUCUCUGGAGCAUGUGCUCGAAAUUCAUUCGGACUAUGAGCGCAGAUUGCACCUUUUGGAGCCAGAGUUGAAGCAUCUGCAGGAGACUUUCCGCACGAUUGCUUUGAAGACGCCAGUGCUGAAAAAGAGCCUUGACAACCUCAUGGAGCUGUGGAAGGAGCUGAACACUCAGAGUGGCCUUCACAAGGACCGCUUGAAGCUGCUUGAGGCCUCGCUGGCUGGUCUGGAGGACAAUGAGCAUGUGAUUUCCGAGCUGGAGAACGAGCUGGCCAGACACCAGGAUCUGCCAUCGACAGCUGAGGGCCUGCAGCAGGUGUUUAAGCAACUGAACCACAUGCAGGACAUCAUUACACAACAGCAGCCGCAAAUGGAUAAGAUGAACGAUGCGGCCGACCAGCUGGGACGCAUGGGAGUGCCCACCAAGGUGCUUGGCGACCUGAAGCGACUGCACUCGAACGUGGAGCGCCUGAACACGCGCUGGAGUGCGGUGUGCAAUCAAUUGGGCGAAAGAAUGCGCUCAUGCGAGACGGCUAUCGGGCUGAUGAAGAAUCUCCAGUCGAGCGUGCAAGUGGAGGAAUCAUGGGUGGAUGGCACCACAGAGGGACUGUCCGCCAUGCCCACCGCCACUUCGGCGUACGAACUAGACAAACUGCUCGGAGCUGCAAUCGAACGAAAACCAAAAAUCGAAAAUGUCAACGUGGCUGGAGGACGACUUAUACGCGAAGCCAAGAUCUACGAUAGCAAAUGCCUACGCUUCGUGGACUGGCUGGUCGAGGCCCGUCCAUCGUUCUCGCCGCCUCGCCGGGAUCUCCGGCCGGCGGAUAGCGAUCCGGGAGCCACACAGUAUUACAGCCAACGACUGGACAACCUGAAUACGAAGUACGACAGAUUGCUGGAACAACUGUCGCAGAGGCUAAAAACUGCAAUCGAAGUCAAUGGCAGCGAUGGUCUGCAAUACGCUGAGAGUCUUCAGAAACCGCUCAAGACCUUUAGGGUUGACUUCAGUGCGGGCAGCGUGCCAACUGGCGAUGGCUACGCUGCGCGCCCGGAGGAUCUCUACACCACUACCUACAGCACCACACAAAUCAGCUCAACGAAGACAACGAAAAGCUCUACGAAGAGCGUCUACAGUAGCGAUGGCUUGGACGCCGCUAGUCAGGAGGUUAGCACUGCUAGCCUGCCUCAAUCGCAGAUCCAAUUCAAUGAGAUCCGAACGCUCAAGCGCGCGCAACAGCUGGGUGGCCAUUCCGUGCUGGAUAUAGCCGGAAUACGCGAUCCAAGUACGGGUCGCGUUCUGACCAUCGGGGAAGCCAUCCAGCUUCGCAUUCUGGACGUGCGCACUGGCGAGAUGCUGGUGGGUGAUCGCCGCAUCACGCUGGAACAAGCUUCCGACCAAGGACUGAUCGACUUGCAGCUGGCAAAGCAAUUGCUUGAGCCCGGUGCCGGCCGAGAUGCCAACGGACGGGAGCUUUCGCUCCUGGAGGUUAUUCAGCGCGAGAUAAGCGAAGCGGAAUCCGGUUACGAGACGGCCGAGAAGCGGAUCAAGCAAGCAGUAUUCGAGAAGUUCAACAUGUGCGAAGAGAAUGUCAACGAUCUGUUGAAAUGGGUCACCACUGUGGAACAGAAAAUCUCAAGUGUCGGCGGACCGCGCGAAAAGAUCGAUGAGUUGCGCAACCAGAUUAAUGCCCUUAAGCAAAUCAAGGAUGAGAUCGAGUCUCAGCAGCGGCCAGUAGCCACUUGCUUGGAGCAAAUCCGUCAGAUCGUGCUCACCGGUGGUGAUGUUUUGUCUGCCCCCGAAGUGACCACUCUGGAGAACUCUGGCCGGGAGCUGCGUUCGCGUGUGGAUCGUGUCAACGAUCGCACCGUGCGCUUGCUACGCCGCCUGGAAGCAGGUCGAGAUGAGCUCACCAAACUGCGCAGCGAGUUGGAUGUAUUUUCCGAUUGGUUGCAAGUCGCCCGACGCACUUUGGAGGACAAGGAGCGUUCCCUGUCCGACUUGACUCGGCUUCCCUCUCAGGCCGAUUCGGUUCGGGAGUUUGUCAGCGAUGUGAUUGGCCACCAGGCCGAUUUGCGGUUCAUCACAAUGGCCGCACAGAAGUUUGUGGACGAGAGCAAGGAGUUCUUGGCCAUACUUAACGACUUCCGUACUUCACUGCCCGAACGCUUGCCUCAUGUUGAGCCACUGUCCAGUGCCGAGAGUCCCAUACGCCAAGAGGUUUCGCUGGUCUCGGCGCAGUACAAGGACCUGUUGAACCGAGUAAACGCUCUGCAAGAUCGCGUCUCUGGUUUGGGUGGACGCCAGCGUGAGUACCAGGAUGCAUUGGACAAGGCUAACGAGUGGCUAAGGAGUGUGCAUCCGCGUGUGUCGCGCAUUAUCUCUGAACCGAUUGCCGGCGACCCUAAGGGAGUACAGGAUCAGAUGAACGAGGCCAAGGCGCUACACAAUGAGAUGCUUUCUAGUGGUCGUUUGGUGGACAAUGCGCAACAGGCUCUUGAUAAUCUGCUGCGCAGCCUUGGUGGCCAACUCAGUCCCAUGGAGAUCAAUCAGUUGGAACUGCCCAUUGCUGAUCUGAAGAACAACUACCAACAGCUGCUGGAUAAUCUGGGCGAGCAUUGCAAAACCCUGGACAAGACUUUGGUGCAAUCGCAGGGUGUACAGGAUGCCUUGGACAGUCUUGUGGGAUGGGUUAACCAGGCAGAGGAUAAGUUCAAGUUGAAUCUGCGACCCGCCUCGCUGAUCAAGGAGCGCCUACAGGAGCAAAUCCGGGAGCACAAGGUCUUGCUAGCCGAUCUUCAAUCCCACCAGGCCAGCAUUGACAGCGUCCAAGUCUCGGCCAAGCAUCUGCUUGGCAGCGCUUCGAAUGCCCGCAUUGCCAAGAAGGUGGAAUCGAAUCUAAACGAUGUGACCGUCAAGUUCGAGAAGCUCUAUGAGAAGGCCAACAAACGUGGUGAAUUCUUAGAUGACGUUUACAACCGAUUGAGCAGAUAUCUGGAUGAAAUCAGCACUGUGGAGCAGCGUAUGGCCAACUUACAGGAGGCUCUAGAUAGCCGAGAAACCAGCCUGCUUUCAACUGAGGAGUUGGCUCGCCGCAUGAACGAACUGUCCCGUGACAAGGACCAACUGGCGCCGCAGUUCGAGGAUUGCGUGCGCAGUGGCAAGGAUCUAAUUAGCCUGCGAGAUGUCACCGAUACUGGAGUUUUGCGCGAUCGCAUCAAGGCACUGGAAUCUCAGUGGCGCAACAUUAACAUCAGCAUCGAUGAGCGCGCCAAGCUGUCCAAGCAAAAGGCCGAGCAACAGCUGGCCUACGAGGGUCUGAAGGAUCAGGUCCUCUCCUGGCUGGCCAGCACUGAAGCGCGAGUUAACGGCCUUCCGCCGGUAGCAAUUGAUCUGGACAGAAUUAAGCAGCAGCACGACGAGCUGAAGCCCAUAUGCAAGGAUUACCGCGACUAUGCGCCAACUAUUGACAAAAUUAACGAUAUUGGAGCACAGUAUGAUGCGCUGAUUCGCCCAGAGAGUCCUGCCCGCAAACGAUCCACCUAUAGUCCGAUUAAGCGGGCCAGUCCGUUGCGCCGCAUGUCCGGAGACGCUAGAAGCCCCAGCCCCACCAAGGGAGGCAUCCUGUCGCCACUAUCGACUGGUUCCAGUGGAUUCGGUAGCCGCAGAUCCUCCCAGGAUGGUUUCCAGCUGUCUGAGCUAUCUCCGGUGCAGCAGCAGCUGAGCGAGAUCAACAAUCGCUACGGGCUGAUUGGCGUGCGCCUCAACGAUCGCCAACACGAGCUGGACAACCUGAACGAGGAGCUCCGCAAGCAGUACGAGAAUCUGAAGGGACUAGCUCAGUUCCUGGAGCGCAUUCAGCGUCAAUUGCCCAAGGAGUCCAUAUCGAACAAGGACGAAGCCGAGCGCUGCAUUAAACAGGCGCGCAAGAUCCUUGAGGACAUGUACGAGAAGCAGAGCCUUCUUGACACCACCAAGGCUCAGGUGAAGGAUAUCCUACGCCGCAAGUCAGAUGUGCCCGGCGCCGAACAAUUGCGCCAGGAGAACGAUAGCAUCCAAGAGAAGUGGAAGAAUCUCAACGACAUCUGCAAGAACCGCAUUGCCUUCUCUGAGAAGCUGCGUGACUUCUUGGACACCCAUGGAAAUCUGAAGAGCUGGCUGGACAGUAAGGAACGUAUGUUAACCGUGCUGGGACCCAUCUCUUCCGAUCCCCGUAUGGUGCAGAGCCAGGUGCAACAGGUGCAAGUGCUUCGCGAGGAAUUCCGCACUCAGCAACCCCAACUGAAGCAUUUCCAGGAGCUCGGACAUGAUGUUGUCGACCACUUGGCCGGCACACCCGAUGCCCAGGCCGUCGAAAAUAAACUGAAGGACAUUCUGGGCAAGUGGGAUGACCUGGUCGGAAAGCUUGACGACCGUGCCAAUAGUUUGGGUGGUGCGGCUGAUAGUUCCAAGGAGUUUGAUGCUGCUGUCAAUCGCUUGCGGGAGGCUCUGCAAAACAUUAGCGAUAAUCUGGAUGCUUUGCCCACCGAUGGCGACCACCAGGAGAAUCUGCGCAAGAUCGAAAACUUGGAGCGACAGCUUGAGGGUCAACGCCCGCUGUUAGCCGAUGUGGAGCAUUCCGCCACCACCCUGUGCAAUAUUCUGGGUGAUCCCGCCUCGCGUGCAGAUGUCAACUCUCGCGUCGCAGCUCUGGAGAAACAGUAUUUGGCGCUCCAAAAGAAACUGGAUACCAAGAAGGCAGAAACAGAGGCUUCCCUCCGAGAUGGCCGCCACUUUGCCGAGAAUUGCUCAAAGACUCUGGGUUGGUUGGGAGGAGAACUCUCUAACCUGACUGACAGGCUGCUUGUCUCUGCUCACAAGCCAACCCUGCAGCACCAGAUCGACACCCAUGAGCCGAUCUACCGUGAGGUAAUGGCCCGUGAGCAUGAGGUCAUUAUGCUUAUCAACAAGGGCAAGGAUCUAACCGAUCGCCAGCAGGAUCGCGGAGUUAAGCGUGAUUUGGAUCGCAUCCAGCAGCAGUGGGAGAAGCUGCGCCGCGAAGCCGUCGAUCGUCACACACGACUACAGACGUGCAUGGAGCACUGCAAGAAGUACUCGCAAACUUCGGAGACAUUCCUGGCCUGGCUGCGCACCGCAGAGGAUAAAUUGGCUGAUCUUACACCCGGCGUAUUGUCCAAGGCUAAGCUGGAGACUCGUCUACGUGAUCUGCAGACCUUCCGCAGCGAGGUAUGGAAGCAUUCCGGCGAAUUCGAAAACACCAAGGGAUUGGGAGAGACAUUCCUCACCAGCUGCGACAUCGAUAAGGAACCCAUUAAGGCGGAGCUGCAGGACAUCCGUGAUCGUUGGGAGAGACUAAACAACGAUCUGAUUGCCCGUGCUCAUGAAAUUGAAAACUGCUCCCGUCGCUUGGGCGAUUUUAAUGAUGAGUUGCGAAACCUGGAUCAUUCUUUAGGUCGCUGCGAAGAUCGACUUGCGGCCCACGAUGCUCUCGGUGGAGCUGCCAAGGACCCAAAACUCUUGGAGCGUGUUAAGGCCAUACGCGAAGAGCUCACCAACUUGAGCAAGCCUUUGCAGUCACUUAAGGCUUUGGCCAAGGAUAUCAGUGCUGAGGCUAGGGCUGCUGGCGGAGAUGCUGACCAUUUGACCAGCGAAGUCGAUGGUCUGGCCGAUCGCAUGUCCGAGCUGCAGGGCCGCCUGGAUGAUCGCUGUGGAGAACUGCAAUCUGCAGCCACCGCAGUGUCCCAAUUCAACGAACAAAUGAAGAGUUUGGGCAUUGAUCUGAACGAUCUGGAGACAGAGAUUGAAAAGCUUUCACCGCCCGGCCGUGAAAUCAAGAUUGUGCAGGUGCAAAUCGACGAUGUGGGCAAGAUCCAGAACAAAUUGGAUCGCCUUGUGGGUCGUUUGGAGGAUGCAGAACGCGCCGCUGAUGUUUUGGUAGAUGCAGGAUUCGCUGCAGACACCACCCAGACCCGUGAGCAAAUCUCCACCCUGCGAAAGACGUUGGGUCGUUUGGAUAACCGAGUUCGCGAUCACGAGGAUAAUCUUCAGGCCACUUUGAAAGCACUCCGCGAAUUCUACGACAACCAAUCUCAAACUCUGGAUGACAUUCAAGACGUGAGCGAUGAGUUCAAGCGCAUGAAGCCCGUGGGCUCGGAGUUGGAUCAGAUUCGCCGCCAGCAAGAGGACUUCCGCAACUUCAGGGAGCGCAAGGUGGAACCGCUGGCCAUCAAUGUUGACAAGGUAAAUGUUGCUGGCAGAGACCUAGUGCGUUCCGCUGGCAGUGGUGUUUCCACCACGGCCAUUGAGAAGGAUCUGGAAAAGCUAAACGACCGGUGGAACGAUUUGAAGGAGCGAAUGAACGAGCGCGAUCGCCGUUUGGAUGUGGCUCUGCUCCAAUCUGGAAAGUUCCAGGAGGCGUUGGCUGGCCUCUCCAAGUGGCUCAGUGACACCGAGGAAAUGGUGGCUAAUCAGAAGCCGCCGAGCUCCGAUUAUAAGGUGGUAAAGGCACAGCUGCAGGAGCAAAAGUUCCUCAAGAAAAUGCUGUUGGAUCGCCAGAACUCCAUGGGCUCCCUGGCCAACCUCGGCAAGGAAGUUGCCAAUCACUGCGAACCCGCCGAGCGUGCCUCCAUUGAGAAACAGUUGAACGAUUUGAUGAAGCGAUUUGAUGCCCUAACCGACGGAGCCGAGCAACGCGAGUUGGACCUUGAGGAAGCCAUGGAAGUGGCUAAGCGAUUCCAUGACAAGAUUAGUCCCUUGGAACUUUGGCUGGACAACACAGAGCGAUCUGUUAAGGCAAUGGAACUGAUUCCUACUGACGAAGAGAAGAUCCAGCAGCGUAUCCGCGAACACGACCGUCUACAUGACGAAAUCUUGGGCAAGAAACCCGACUUUUCCGAUCUUGCUGAUGUGGCCGCCCAGCUGAUGCAUUUGGUUAGCGACGAGGAGGCAGUCAAUCUGGGCGAGAAGGUGCGCGGUGUGACUGAGCGAUACACAGGAUUGGUGGAUGCCAGCGACAACAUUGGCGCUCUGCUAGCCGAAUCACGUCAGGGAUUGCGUCACCUGGUCUUGAGUUAUCAGGAUCUGGUGGCCUGGAUGGAAAGUAUGGAAGCAGAGCUGAAGCGCUUUAAGUCAGUUCCCGUGUACGCUGAAAAGCUGCUGGAACAGAUGGAUCAUCUGCUGGAGCUAAACGAGAACAUUGCCGGUCACGCUUCAAAUGUAGAAUCCACCGUGGAGUCCGGAGCCGAGCUGAUGAAGCACAUUUCCAACGAUGAGGCUAUCCAACUGAAGGACAAGUUAGACUCCCUACAACGUCGCUAUGGUGACUUGACCAAUCGUGGUGGAGAUCUGCUGAAGAGUGCACAGAAUGCACUGCCAUUGGUGCAACAAUUCCAUGAAGCUCACAACCGUUUAGUGGAAUGGAUGCAAAGCGCUGAGGCUGCUCUUGCUCCCAGUGAGCCACGUCAAGCUGAUGUGCUUCGGCUGGAGGGCGAAUUGGCUGAUAUGCGUCCUAUUCUGGAUAGCAUCAAUCAAGUGGGACCCCAGCUGUGUCAACUCUCUCCGGGAGAAGGUGCUGCCACCAUUGAGAGCAUUGUGACCCGGGACAACCGUCGCUUCGAUUCCAUUGUGGAGCAAAUCCAACGCAAGGCGGAGCGUCUACACCUCAGCAACCAGCGCGCCAAGGAAGUGACAGGUGACAUUGAUGAACUGCUUGAGUGGUUCCGCGAAAUGGACACUACACUACGCGAGGCAGAUCUGCCUGCCAUGGAGCCCAAACUGGUGCGUGCCCAAUUGCAGGAGCAUCGCUCCAUCAACGACGACAUCUCCAGCCAGAAGGGACGUGUACGAGAUGUAACGGCGGCCUCCAAGAAGGUGCUUCGUGAGUCGCCACAGAGCGAGAACACUGCUACUCUUCGUGAGAAAUUGGAUGACCUGAAGGAGAUCGUCGACACCGUUGCUCAAUUGUGCAGCGAGCGUUUGGGCAUCCUGGAACAGGCCCUGCCCCUGUCUGAGCAUUUCGCCGAUUCCCAUCAGGGACUCACCGCCUGGUUGGAUGACAUGGAACAACAGAUCUCGCGGUUGAGCAUGCCUGCUUUGCGUCCUGACCAGAUCACUCUGCAGCAGGACAAGAACGAGCGUCUUUUGCAAUCCAUAGCCGAACAUAAGCCUCUGCUAGACAAGCUGAACAAGACUGGUGAGGCUUUAGGUGCAUUGGUGGCCGAUGAUGAUAGCGCUAAGAUCAACGAGAUUUUGGACACGGACAAUGCCCGUUAUGCCGCACUCCGCUUGGAACUCCGCGAACGACAGCAGGCGCUCGAGAGUGCUCUGCAGGAAUCUAGCCAGUUCUCCGAUAAGCUGGAAGGCAUGCUGCGUGCUCUGGCCAACACCGUGGAUCAGGUCAAUCAAUUAGAUCCCCUGUCCGCUCUGCCGCAGAAGAUACGUGAGCAGAUUGAAGAUAAUGAUGCUUUGAUGGACGAUCUGGAUAAGCGACAGGAUGCCUUCAGUGCUGUGCAGCGUGCGGCCAACGAUGUUAUCGCAAAGGCGGGCAACAAAGCUGAUCCCGCGGUCCGUGACAUCAAGGCCAAGCUGGAGAAGCUAAACAACCUCUGGAACGAUGUGCAGAACGCUACCAAGAAGCGCGGCAGCUCGUUGGACGACAUCCUUAGCGUAGCCGAGCCCUUCUGGAAGCAACUGAAUAGCGUGAUGAAGACCCUAAAGGAUCUGGAGGAGACAUUAUCCUGCCAGGAGCCACCAGCGGCCCAGCCGCAGGAUAUCAAGAAGCAACAGGUGGCGCUGCAGGAGAUUCGCCAUGAGAUCGACCAGACCAAACCAGAGGUCGAGCAGGUGCGACGUCACGGAAGCAACCUGAUGAACAUGUGCGGUGAGCCCGACAAGCCAGAGGUCAAGAAGCACAUCGAGGACUUGGACAACGCAUGGGACAACAUCACGGCGCUGUAUGCCAAGCGCGAGGAGAACCUCAUCGAUGCCAUGGAGAAGGCCAUGGAGUUCCACGAGACACUGCAGAACCUCCUUAAGUUCUUGACCAAGGCCGAGGACAAGUUCGCCCAUCUGGGAGCUGUGGGUUCGGACAUUGAUGCCGUUAAACGACAGAUCGAACAACUCAAGUCGUUCAAGGAUGAAGUUGAUCCGCAUAUGGUUGAAGUAGAAGCAUUAAACAGAGGUCUCAAAAGACAAGCUGUGGAACUGACGGAACGCACUUCACCCGAGCAAGCGGCAUCGAUCCGCGAACCCCUGUCGGUGGUCAAUCGCCGCUGGGAGGCCCUACUCCGUGGCAUGGUCGACCGCCAGAAGCAACUGGAGCACGCUCUUCUGCACUUGGGUCAAUUCCAGCAUGCCCUCAACGAGCUGCUGGUCUGGAUCAACAAGACCGACAGCACACUGGACCAACUGAAGCCGAUCCCUGGAGAUCCGCAACUGCUGGAGGUUGAAUUGGCCAAGCUAAAGGUUCUGGCCAACGACAUUCAGGCCCACCAGAACUCAGUGGACACACUGAACGAUGCGGGCAGACAGUUGAUUGAAACCGAAAAGGGAUCUGUGGAGGCCUCUACCACCCAGGAGAAAUUGCGCAAGCUGAACAACGAGUGGAAGCAGCUUUUGCAGAAGGCCAGCGACCGACAGCAUGAACUAGAGGAGGCUCUACGCGAAGCUCACGGAUAUAUUGCCGAAGUCCAGGAUAUUCUGGGAUGGCUGGGCGAUGUAGACGCUGUGAUUGGAGCUAGCAAGCCUGUGGGCGGACUUCCCGAAACUGCUACUGAGCAAUUGGAACGCUUCAUGGAGGUGUACAACGAAUUGGACGAAAACAGGCCCAAGGUGGAGACGAUUCAGGCCCAGGGCCAGGAGUACAUCAAGCGCCAGAACCAGAUGAAGGUCUCUUCCAGCAACCUACAGCAUACACUCCGCACGCUGAAGCAACGCUGGGAUGCCGUGGUAUCGCGCGCCUCCGACAAGAAGAUUAAGUUGGAAAUUGCACUGAAGGAAGCCACCGAGUUCCAUGACACACUGCAAGCCUUUGUUGAAUGGCUGACCCAGGCCGAAAAGCUGCUGUCCAAUGCCGAGCCCGUCUCACGCGUCCUGGAAACCAUUCAGGCCCAGAUGGAGGAGCACAAGGUGUUGCAGAAGGAUGUGAGCACUCAUCGCGAAGCCAUGCUGCUGCUGGACAAGAAGGGAACUCACCUUAAGUACUUCAGCCAGAAGCAGGACGUGAUCUUGAUUAAGAACCUGCUCGUGUCUGUGCAACAUCGUUGGGAACGUGUGGUGAGCAAGGCCGCGGAACGCACUCGUGCGCUGGAUCAUGGCUACAAAGAGGCUCGUGAGUUCAACGACGCCUGGAGUGGCAUGAUGCAGUAUCUGCAGGAAACCGAACAGGUGCUGGAUCAAAUCAUCGAAGAAGCCACAGCGUCCAAGGAACCGCAAAAGAUCAAGAAGUACAUUGGCAAGCUGAAGGAGACGCACCGUCAGCUGGGCGCCAAGCAAUCGGCCUACGACGGAACCAUGCGCACCGGAAAGAAUCUGUUAGAGCGAGCUCCUAAGGGCGAUCGCCCAGUGCUGGACAAAAUGCUGAUCGAACUGAAGGAACAAUGGACUCGAGUGUGGUCCAAGAGCAUCGACCGCCAGCGCAAGCUGGAGGAGGCUCUGCUUCUUUCCGGACAGUUCAGCGAUGCUCUGGGUGAGCUUCUUGAGUGGUUGAAGAAGGCUAAGAGCCGCCUGAACGAAAAUGGACCAGUUCACGGAGAUUUGGAGACGGUUCAAGGUCUGUGCGAGCACCACAAGCACAUUGAGCAGGAUUUGCAGAAGCGCGCCGCGCAAAUGCAAGGCGUGCUCAAGACUGGACGGGACCUGGAGCGAUCUGGAAACAAUCCCGAAGUUGGACGUCAGCUCGAUGAGAUGCAGUCCAUUUGGGAGGAGGUCAAGAGUGCCGUCGCCAAACGCGGCGAGCGUCUCCAGGUGGCCCUUGUUGAUGCCGAGAAGCUAAAUGCCCGUGUUCAGGCUCUCUUUGAUUGGCUGGAUCAUGCCGAGCACAAGCUGCGAUAUGCCAAGAAUGCCCCCGAUGAUGAGAAGGUUUCCCGUGAAAUGAUGGACAUCCACAUGGAGUUUAUGAAGGAUCUGCGAGUGCGCGAGCGUGAGAAGUCCGAGACUUUUGAGUACGCCGAAGACAUUAUCAACAAGGCGUAUCCCGAUGCCAUUCCGAUCAUCAAGAACUGGCUUUCGAUUAUCCAGCAGCGUUGGGAGGAGGUGCGCCAAUGGGCCAUCAACCGCGAGUCGAAGCUGGAGCAGCAUCUGCAGUCGCUCAAGGAUUUGGACGACACCAUUGAGGAGCUGUUGGCUUGGCUCAGCGGACUCGAGGGCACCUUGUUGAACCUCAAGCACGAGCAGCUGCCGGACGAGAUUCCACCCGUGGAGAAAUUGAUCGAAGACCACAAGGAGUUUAUGGAAAACACGGCUCGCCGCCAAAACGAAGUGGACCGUGCCUGCAAGCCAAGACAGUUGCCACCAGGAGCGCGCAAGCCAUCCCGCAGCGGCAAGACGCCAGUUCGUGGCUCCAGUCACGAUCUGCGUGAGCAGUCACCCGACGGCACCCUGAGGCGUCAAAGCUUCAAGGGAUCUCGUGACCAGGGACUCAAUGCCCGCAAGGGAAGUCGUAUCACGCCCACACGUGACACGCCCGACAGAGAUCGCCUGCCGCACUACGGCCCCCGAUUCUCGCCAAGCACCUCUGGACCGGAACUGGAAUUCCGUUCGCCACGCGCGAAGCUUCUGUGGACCAAGUGGCGCGAUGUCUGGAUGCUCUCAUGGGAGCGCCAGCGGCUGCUUAACGAUCAUCUGCUGUAUCUGAAGGAUGUGGAACGUGCCCGCAACUUCAGCUGGGACGAUUGGCGUAAGCGCUUCCUCAAGUACAUGAACCACAAGAAGUCGCGUUUGACGGAUCUGUUCCGCAAAAUGGAUAAGGAUAACAACGGCAUGAUUCCACGCGAUGUUUUCAUCGAUGGCAUACUCAAUACGAAAUUCGAUACGUCUGGCUUGGAAAUGAAGGCUGUAGCCGAUCUUUUUGAUCGCAAUGGCGAGGGCCUCAUCGACUGGCAAGAGUUUAUUGCCGCCCUUCGUCCCGAUUGGCAAGAGCGUAAACCAGCCAAUGAUUCGGACAAAAUACACGACGAGGUCAAACGUCUGGUCAUGCUGUGUACCUGCCGACAGAAAUUCCGCGUAUUCCAAGUUGGCGAGGGCAAGUACAGAUUUGGAGACUCCCAGAAACUGCGCCUAGUUCGUAUCCUUCGCAGCACUGUUAUGGUGCGCGUGGGUGGCGGCUGGGUUGCCCUGGACGAAUUCCUGCAGAAGAACGAUCCUUGUCGCGCCAAGGGACGCACUAACAUAGAGCUACGCGAGCAAUUCAUAUUGGCCGAUGGCGUCUCGCAGAGCAUGGCCGCAUUCACGCCCAGACGUUCCACGCCAAAUGCGGCCGCCACUGCCUCCUCCUCACCCCAUGCCCACAAUGGCGGCAGCUCCAACUUGCCCCCAUAUAUGAGUGGACAGGGUCCCAUCAUCAAGGUACGCGAGCGCUCCGUCCGCUCCAUACCCAUGUCACGGCCGUCGCGCUCCUCCCUUUCGGCCAGCACUCCCGACUCCCUGAGCGACAACGAGGGCAGCCAUGGAGGACCUUCCGGCCGAUACACGCCCCGCAAGGUCACCUACACGAGCACGCGCACGGGUCUCACGCCAGGAGGCUCCCGCGCCGGCUCCAAGCCCAACUCGCGCCCGCUCAGCAGACAGGGAUCAAAGCCGCCAUCGCGACAUGGCUCCACGCUGUCGCUGGAUAGCACGGACGAUCACACGCCCUCGCGCAUUCCGCAGCGUAAGCCUUCAACGGGCAGCACAGCCAGCGGUGCCACUCCGCGUCCGGCGCGACUUUCGGUGACCACCAUCACGACUCCCGGCAGUCGUCUCAAUGGCACCAGCACCAUCACCCGCAAAACCGCCUCCGGAUCGGCUAGUCCGGCGCCUACAAGCCGGCCAUCACGGAUACCGAUUAAGAUACCCUCAUUCGAUUCCAAGUCAACAUCGCCCAGCUCGACUACGAAUCCAACCAGCUUGGGGUAAAGUUGAUAAGCUUACAACAAAGACAUUUACUAGUCAAUUUCAACUCAGUCUAUAGCAAGCGGAACAUCAGCGGUAGCUCGACGCCCUCCGGCAUGCAAACGCCCCGAAAGAGCUCAGCGGAGCCCACUUUUAGCUCCACAAUGAGACG